rnacentral:rRNA from 1 species
GACGAACGCUGGCGGCGUGCCUAAUACAUGCAAGUCGACAACAGCGGCGGACGGGUGAGUAACACGUAAGGAACCUACCGAUCAGCGGGGGACAACAUCCGGAAACGGGUGCUAAUACCGCAUACUUAUCGAUGGCCUUGCGGUGCAUUAGCUCGGUUGUGGGGUAACGGCCUACCAAGGCAAUGAUGCAUAGCCGACCUGAAAGUGUGAUCGUCCACACUGGGACUGAGAAACGGCCCAUACUCCUACGGGAGGCAGCAGUAGGGAAUCUUCGGCAAUGGACGAGAGUCUGACCGAGCAACGCCGCGUGAGUGAAGAAGGUUUUCGUAUCGUAAAACUCUGUUGUUAGAGAAGCGGUAUCUAACCAGAAAGCCACGGCUAACUACGUGCCAGCAGCCGCGGUAAUUC